rnacentral:rRNA from 1 species
CAGUGGGGAAUAUUGCACAAUGGGCGAAAGCCUGAUGCAGCGACGCCGCGUGAGGGAUGGAGGCCUUCGGGUUGUAAACCUCUUUCGGCAGGGAAGAAGCGUUAAGUGACGGUACCUGCAGAAGAAGCGCCGGCUAACUACGUGCCAGCAGCCGCGGUAAUACGUAGGGCGCAAGCGUUGUCCGGAAUUAUUGGGCGUAAAGAGCUCGUAGGUGGUUUGUCGCGUCUGGUGUGAAAUCCCGGGGCUUAACUUCGGGCGUGCAUCGGGUACGGGCAGGCUAGAGUGCGGUAGGGGAGACUGGAAUUCCUGGUGUAGCGGUGGAAUGCGCAGAUAUCAGGAGGAACACCGAUGGCGAAGGCAGGUCUCUGGGCCGCAACUGACGCUGAGGAGCGAAAGCAUGGGGAGCGAACAGGAUUAGAUACCCUGGUAGUCCAUGCCGUAAACGUUGGGCACUAGGUGUGGGGCCUAUUCCACGGGUUCCGUGCCGUAGCUAACGCA